UGGGUACUAUGGUAAUAGUUUCCCACUAGCAACCAAUUUCCCCUUAAUAAGAAAAAUCAUUUCCAUGGGGAUUGGGAGUAAGCAUCAGCUGUAACCAUGUCUCCUAACAUGGCAACUGAAUUAGCUUCCUCUCCCAUGACCUUGAACAAUUAAAAUCCCCCUAAACAUGCUUCCUCCUUCUCCUACGGAUAUUCAUCAUGACUAGUGCACACCCAUGUACUCAUCUUAAUCAUCAA
rnacentral:misc_RNA from 1 species